UAAUGGGUCCUUGCAAAGAAACGAAGAAGCACAAAGGUGUGUGUAUAUAUAGAUAUAGCCUAGAGCCUGGCCAAUUCUCCGGGGAGCAUCCUCAGCAACAGCAUCUAGGAGCGCCAUCCCUUCGGGAAUCUCAUCUCGGUCUUCCAAAGUAGCAUCUUCAAGGGAGAACAUGAAGAAGAGGAAAGUGAUGGAUAAGAGGAAAGUGACACAGAAGAAGCAGGAAGGAAUGAAGAAGUUGCUCGGUGAAAAAUCUAGCUAGUAUGAAUGUUGCCAGCACCACUAUCGUGGAGCCACUUCUUGAGAUGCUACGCUUGUGCAUGAUGCAAUAGUUAGUCGAUAGUACUGCCUCACUCCAAGGAAAGAAAAAGGAGUACGGCAUCACACCAGGUAGUAAGGGAAGGUUAGCAGCGUGUAUAAUCCAAACAUCCUCCUGAGUAGCAGUGUAGAGAUUAAGCAUUUUCCGAGUCGGGAGGGAUCAACCGCCCUACCUAGUCUCCUCAAGCCAAAAACAACAACAGUAACAACGGAUACAACAACAACAACAAUGAUAAGACAUUUUAGUCUAGCUAGGCAAAUGGAAGCCCAAGAAAAAGGCCAUGGCAUGACUGAUGAGAAUGAUGCCAUGUAAGAAGCAUGGUGGAUAGCAAUGAAUGAGGAUGGACUGAAGAAAGUGAUGGAAAAAUGUUGGAAGAAUCUUGAAUAAAAAUCUGCCUCCUAGGGGCUCCCACUUAGAGAAAGGGCUGCAGCGUAACCGAUUA
rnacentral:lncRNA from 1 species